CAGGGCCUGAGUCAGCGCCCUGCGCGUUCCCAGCGGCCCCGGGAGCCCGCCCGGCCCCGCUCCGCGUUGGAACCUGCACUUUCCGGGAACUCGGACCUCCCCCAGGACGCCUUCCCAGGCGCCACCGGGCCCCGCGGAUCGUCGCCGUCCAGGGGCGGGGCGGGGCGGGGCGGGGCGGGGCGUGCGAAAGUCAGGCCCGGAACCCGGGCAAGUCGCUGCGGUGCCCCCUGGCUUCCCGGCGGGCGUGCUGCACCUCUGCGCCCCCAGACCCUGCGCCCCCUCCGCACUCGCGCCUGCUCCUCCGGGCCUGCCCGUUCCCUCGGCCUCCUUGGGACCCUCCCUCUGUCUCCGCUUCUGCCGCCGCUCCCUUCCCUGGCUGCCUUGCAGUGGCGUGAUCUCAGCUCACCGCAACCUUCGCCUCCCGGGAUCAAGCGAUUCUGUUGCCUCAGCCUCCCAAGUAGCUGGGCUUAACCGGCACGAGCCACCACGCGCAGCCAACUUUGUAUUUUUAAUAGAGACCCGGUUUCAGCAUGUUGGUCAGGCUGGUCUCAAACUCCUGACCUCAAGUGAUCCACCCGACUCACCCUCCCAAAGUGCUGGAUUACAGGUGGACCGUGCGGGGUGAGGGUGGGGGUCCUCUCCAGCAUUUCUGAGGCCAGCUGCCCAGAGAGGAGGGCUACGUGGAGAGGAUGGGGCCAGCAGCAGCAGGCAUGGACUAUGGGACUGGCAGCAGGUAUGAGCCUCGGCCGGCUCUGGCUAGCCUACGUCCACCCAGCUGCAGGACCUCCACCCCCAGCCUCCUGCAGCAGCCCCACAUCUCCAUGGUGUAACCCUGCUGGGAUCAAGAACACCUCCCCUAAUGUCCCAACCUGUGGGAGCUGAGCCGCAGCACUGGCCACUUCUGGACAGAGGCUGCCUCAUGACCUCUGACCUCUGUCUCUCGGGUUGGCAUGAGAGAGACUGGACUCCUGCAGGCCUCAGGGCAGAGGCAGAUGUCGGCCUCCAGGGAUGUCACUGCCCAGAACCCCAGAUGCCCCAAGCCAUCCGCACUCCCCCACGCACUUUCUCUGCUACAAUGACACAUACCCAGAUCUGAGCCCUCUCACCUGGGCCACUGCCAACGUCCCCUAAGGCCCUACACCCCGCCCCCAGGAGCCCCGAGGAUCUUUCCUUUUAAAGAUAUUCAGACCUCACGGAUAAGUCUGCCCAGGCCAGCCCCUCCCCAGUUCCCAGGCCCUACCCUGACAAUGGUCACAGCUUCAGAGCAGCUGAAACCUGCUGUGAGUGAAAAAUGAGAAGCUGUUGUUUUAAUUUUACUUUCUCUGAUUACUAAUGAGGUUAUUUCUUCUCUGUGUAAAAACUUCACUGGUGUUUAAUUGGAUUUUUGUCUUUUUGUUAAUGUAUAGGAGUUCCUUUUUUUCCCCCGCCCUGGUGUCUUGCUCUGUUGCUCAGGCUAGAGUCUAGUGUCGUGAUCUUGGCUCACCGCAACCUCCACCUCUCAGGUUCAAGCAAUUCUCCUGCCUCAGCCUCAUGAGUAGCUGGGAUUACAGACACCUGCCAGCACACCUGGCUAAUUUUUGUAUUUUUAGUAGAGACAGGGUUUCACCAUCUUGGUCAGGCUGGUCUCAAACUCCUGACCUGGUGAUCCGCCCGCCUCAGCCUCCCAAAGUGCUGGGAUUACAGGCGUGAGCCACCCCACCUGGCCAGGAGCUCCUUUUGUACUUAAAUAUAUUAUGAAUUCAAAUUCUCAUAGAUAAAAAUUAAUGUUUAGAGGCAAAAUCAUGAUUCUCAUGCAAAUAAAAAUUGAACACACCUAAGAUUUAAUUUAAUUCAUUUGUAAGGAAACCAGUAAGAUGUUAAAACCAGUUCAAAGGAGAAUCGGAAAGACAGACACGUAGGCAACAAGGAAAGCUGGAACACAUUUGCUUAUUGCUGCAAACUGCUUACUAUUGUAUGGGGCAGUACAGUUUGGGAUUAUCUUUUCCACGGGACAGAAUUCGAUUCACUCUCUAUGGAGCAAAAUUCAUUUGCAUUCUGUGGGCAGGAUCAUUGGCCUUAUAAUUGGUUUUCUAUAAUUUAACUUCUCCCCUGAUAGAGCUGUAAAAUAGCUUAGUCCAGCCGGGCGUGGUGGCUCACGCCUGUAAUCCCAGCACUUUGGGAGGCUGAGCCGGGCGGAUCACCAGGUCAAGAGAUCGAGACCAUCCUGGCCAACAUGGUGAAACCCCGUCUCUACUAAAAAAAACACAAAAAUUAGCUGGGCGUGGUGGCGCGUGCCUGUAGUCCCAGCUACUCGGGAGGCUGAGGCAGGAGAAUUGCUUGAACCCGGGAGGCGGAGGUUGCGGUGAGCUGAGGUCUCACCACUGCACUCCAGCCUGGCUCCCGGCGACAGAGCAAGACUCUGUCUCAAAAAAAGAAAAAGAAAAAAAAAAAUAGCUUAGUCCAUAGCAAACAGUUGAAGAAGGACCCCAUAGAAUCAGAUCAUUCCCAGUGGGGUCACUAGACAGAUGCCACUCAGCAUACUGCUGAAGGGACACCCAUACUCCCGCAAGCCCAUUUCCACGUCUGUGAUCACUGGUUUCAUCUGUGAUUUGUGCUGAGUGUAUCUCAUUUGCAACCCAUAUAGAAAUGCUCAAUAUUUUGCAAGUCGACUUAAAGUAUUGCUUUUCUUUCUCUCUUUCCUUCCUUCCUUCCUUCUUUUUUUCUUUUGGUUGAGAUGGAGUCACCCGGCCUGGAGUGCAAUGGUGCAGUCUCACUAGAACCUCUGCCUCCCAGGUUCUAGUGAUUCUCCUGCCUCAGCCUCCUGAGUAGCUGGGAUAACAGGUGUGUGCCACCGCGGCCAGUUAAUUUUUGUAUUUUUAGUACAUAUGAGGUUUCACCGUGUUGGCCCGGCUGGUCUGGAACUCUGACCUCAGGUGAUCCGCCUGCCUCAGGCUCCCAAAGUGCUGGGAUUACAGGCGUGAGCCACGGUGCCCGGCCUAAUUCCUGUAUACAUCUUAUACUUUAGUAGGGCAAGUUCUCACCAUCUUGUUUCUUCUUCUCCCAACUAGUCCCGGCUAUUCUUGGACAUUUUCAUUCCCAUAUGAAUUAUAGAAUCGGCUUGUCACAGAAAUCCCAUCUCUCUCUUUUAAAAAAGUAUAUUCCUGAGAGAUUUAGUGUCAAGUUUCUUGUGUAUUUUCGCAUUACCAUAAAUGGGAGACUUCCGUUCUGUUACAUCUUCUAACUCGCAAUUGCUGGUGAAUAGGAAUACUGACUGCACUGAUCAGGACCCGAUGUCAACCUGACGAAUUUUCUCUAGAAGCAGUAGCUUUUACUUAUUAGUAGAUUUAUGGAUUUUUUUACUAAUAGCUUUAGAUACUUUUUUCUCUCUUUCCUAGAUAUUCUGAAAGUCAUUAUGACUUACCUUCUAGUGGCAUGUUGAGAUUUUAAUUUUCAUUCUUCCAUUUGUCCUAGCUGGCAUUCACUGAGCACUUCCAGUCUGAGGGCUCACCUCUUCCUUCAGUUCUAGGGAUUCCUAUUUGAUAUAUCACUAAAUAUCAAUUAUCUUUCCUUCUCACUAAUAUAUAGUCUCGGGCCUCUGACUGGAUAAAUGAGGCAGCCUCUGAUUUGCACUCCCUCUUUUUUUUUUUUUGAGACGGAGUUUCGCUCUUGUUGCCCAGGCUGGAGUGCAAUGGCGCGAUCUCGGCUCACCGCAACCUCCGCCUCCUGGGUUCAGGCAAUUCUCCUGCCUCAGCCUCCCGAGUAGCUGGGAUUACAGGCACGCGCCACCAUGCCCAGCUAAUUUUUUGUAUUUUUAGUAGAGACGGGGUUUCACCAUGUUGACCAGGAUGGUCUCGAUCUCUUGACCUCGUGAUCCACCCGCCUCGGCCUCCCACAGUGCUGGGAUUACAGGCGUGUGCACUCCCUCUUUUUAAAGAAGCUACUCGCUGUUCUGUCAUAAUUUUCCUUAUUGGACAAGUCAUUAUUUUUCUUCCAAACCUUUCAUAAUUUUUUCUUAGCUCUUCACUUUUAGAAACUUGACUGUGACUUGCCCAGGAGUUACUUUACUCUGCCUCGGGUUUGUUGAGCUUCUUGGCUCUCCAAGGUAAUGCUUUCCACUAAUACCGAGGAGUUUUUGUUUGGAAAACUCUGCCCCUACCGCAAAAGCUCUCUCUCUCUUUCCCUCCCCCACAAAGAGGCUCCCUUAUCUCUCACUUUACAUACCGGCCAUAGCCCUCCCGCCGCCCAGCUUCCCGCCGCCCAGCUUCCCGCCCAGCAGUUCAAACUGACCAACAGUUGCCCACCACCUCGGCUUUUGGCUUCCCCACCCCCAGCCCUUCAGCCCCCUAUAAAACAACCCUGCCCCUUUGAGCGGCGCGGCCAUUUUUCCUUUUCGUCCCGGCUGGCCCGCCCGGAGGCUCUUUCCUCUCAAUAAAGCCUGAACUUAAGGAAUUUCCUCUAGCCUGCGGUCCGGUUUUUUCCGAACGAGCUCAGUCUUCCCGCAGAGGGUAGGUCGGACAAAUGGUGCCGGAAACCCGGGACGGGAGCUGAGGCCGUUGGCCCGGCCACGGCCCCCCUCCCCGACCUACCCAACACUGGCCCUGCCACCUCCACGUUCCGAUUAAGGUAAGCCAAGUUUUUCUUGCUUUGCCUUCCCCCGCUUCCCGUCUCCUCUUCCUACGGCAUGGUGCAGUUGCUCCCUCUCCGGCGUUCCGCACGGACUCCUUGCCUAGUCUCGGCCGAGCCAAGGUAGUCUUCCAUUCCGGCUCCAGGAGCCUUCCGAGGGACAGCCGCCAGACGGGGGACGCCCCUCUGACCGCUUCCCUUUCCGUACUUAAUUGUACUCCGGGGAAUUUGCAACGAACGGGGACGCCUUUUCGUUGCAUCUGCCCAUCCGCGCCGGAGAGUCUGUAGCUGCGCCUGCCAUGGGAAAUUCGGAGUCCAAAAUACCUCUGAGCACCCCCCUUGGGUGCUUGCUGCGAAUUUUACCAAAUUGGGAUAUUCCCAAACCCUCAGAAAGAAAAAGCUUAUCUUCCUGUCUCAGGUGGCUUGGCCCCAAUACAAACUCAGUAACCAGUCACAUUGGCCCCCGACUGGCACUUUUGAUUUCAACACCCUCCGAGAUCUCGACGAUUUUUGUCGCCGCGCGGGCAAGGACAAUGAAAUUCCUUACGUCCAGGCUUUUUGGGACCUCCGUACCCACCCCAACCUAUGUUCUUCCUGCUCCACCUACCAAAUCCUCUUAUCUCGAACCCCCCGUAAAUCUUCCUCCACUACCUCUCCCCCUCCCUACUCCUCACCGGAGGAUCUGCCUGAACAUCUGUCCUCUCCUGCCAAUCUCAGCAACCACUCGCCAUCAACGGCACGCCCUUCCCCCACUCCCUCUGCACCUCCUACCUCAGAGGCCAUGCCUCGCUCUCCCUCUACUCCCUCCGAGCCCCCUCCCUCAGAGGCCGCACUUCCUCUUGCCUCUCCGGUGGCGGCCCACACCCGCUCCCACCAGCCAACUAUCCUGGCCCCACUCCGAGAAGUAGCAGGCGCAGAAGGUUUAAUCAGGGUCCAUGUUCCUUUCUCACUCCAAGACCUGUCCCAAAUUGAGCAACGUUUAGGAUCCUUCUCAGCCAACCUGUCCACCUAUAUUAAAGAAUUCCAAUACCUCACUCAAACAUAAGAAGCCCUAGUCCGGUACACUCGACUAGAUCCAGCUCCCAAAACGGGGCCACUGUAUUAGCCUCCCACUUUAUCUCCCAAUCAGCACCCGACAUAAGAAAGAAACUAAAGAAAGCAGAAGAGGGGCCAGAGACUCCCAUCCAAGACCUGGUAAAAAUGGCCUUUAAAGUAUUCAAUGCCAGGGAAGAUGCGGCUGAGGCUGCCCGCCAAACUCGCAUGAAGCAGAAGGCUGCCCUCCAGACCCAAGCCCUAGUGGCGGCUCUAAGGCCGGCAGGGAACCAGAAGCCCAAGGCCGAAACCCAUGCCCCUCCAGGGGCAUGUUUCAAAUGUGGAAAGGAAGGACACUGGUCCCGAGCCUGUCCACAACCAUGGCCACCAACUAAGCCUUGCCCUAUCUGUCGGCUCCCGGGACACUGGAAGUCAGACUGCCCCAGCUUCCCCAGGGUGCCGGUUCCUCAAAACAGACACACUGGCGUUACGCAGCCGGCGGUCACCCUCAGUAGGGAGGAGCCUGCUUGCCAGGAGCCGACCUCCGAGGGAGCUCCAUUCCCCAGUCUACUAGGGCUGCUAGAUGACUAGCGGGGCCCUGGCUUUCCGACUCCGGUUACCCUCGCCGAGCCUAGGGUCACAAGACAUGGGGGCUACCUACUCCGCUCUUCCUUCUUAUUCUGGCCAUCUCACCCCUUCCCAGGUCUUAGUCAUGGGAAUCGAUGGGACCCCAAGUAUCCCCUACCAAACCCCACAUUCCCUAGGCCGAAACGUCCCUAGCUGUAACAGAACUAUACGGGUAACCACUAAUAUAACAGCCCCACGAGGAACGUUUUUCGGGUGUAACAAGACCUUAACAAAAACUCUCUACAUUGGCCUUUCCUCAUCUCUUUUAUGCCUCCCGGUAACCCUAGUCCCUUGACUCACUAUAUAUUCCCCAGCCGAAUUCCAGAUGCUGCAAACUCCCCAUCGCUGCACCCGAUGAGCUGCCUUCCUACCCAUUGCCGUUGGAGUCUCCCUUGCUGGUUCAGCACUUGCAGCAGGAUUAGGAGGAGGGGCACUAGUCCACUCUCACCUGGCCAUAGCCCGACUGACCUCACAACUCCAAGCGGCUAUUGAUGACUCUACUGAGUCUUUAGCAUCACUCCAACGACAGAUCACCUCAGUUGCCCAAGUUGCCUUGCAGAACCGAAGAGCCCUGGACCUGCUCACUGCUGAAUGAGGAGGGACCUGUAUCUUCCUACAGGAAGAGUGCUGUUACUACAUCAAUGAAUCCGGCCUAGUAGAAACCCGAAUCGAGAGCCUCCAGAAACUCAAAACUAACCUCUAGAGUCAGAAGUUCUCGGCUGAAGCCACAGCGUGGUGGUCUUCCUCUAUGUAUACCCUCUUGUCACCAUUGCUUGGGCCCCUAGUAGCUGUUUGCCUAAUCUUACUUAUUGCUCCUUGCUUUCUACAGUUCCUAUAGCGGCGCUUUCAAGAACUGACUCGAGUCACCAUCCACCAGAUGCUGCUCCAACCCUACCCUGAACGAGUGCAAGAAACAGACCUCUCCCCGAACAUCCAGGCUCCUUAGGAAAAGAAACCUCUUCAGAACCCCCCCGUCGACCCUUGUCAGCAGGAAGUAGCCAGAGAGACAACCGACGCCCCUGACCCCCUCUUUUUCUUUUCUUUAAGGAGUCGGGAAUGUUUGGAAAACUCUGCCCCUACCGCAAAAGCUCUCUCUCUCUUUCCCUCCCCCACAAAGAGGCUCCCUUAUCUCUCACUUUACAUACCGGCCAUAGCCCUCCCGCCGCCCAGCUUCCCGCCGCCCAGCUUCCCGCCCAGCAGUUCAAACUGACCAACAGUUGCCCACCACCUCGGCUUUUGGCUUCCCCACCCCCAGCCCUUCAGCCCCCUAUAAAACAACCCUGCCCCUUUGAGCGGCGCGGCCAUUUUUCCUUUUCGUCCCGGCUGGCCUGCCCGGAGGCUCUUUCCUCUCAAUAAAGCCUGAACUUAAGGAAUUUCCUCUAGCCUGCGGUCCGGUUUUUUCCGAACGAGCUCAGUCUUCCCGCAGAGGGUAGGUCGGACAGUUUUCAACCAUUAUUCCCUCAAAUUUAUUUUGCCCCGAUGUCUCUCUCCUCUCCUUCUGGGACUCAAUUACAUGUACUUGUGCUGCUUGGUACUGUCCAAGAGAACACUGAAGUUCUCUUCUUUUUUUUUUUUUGAGACGGAGUUUCGUUCUUGUUACCCAGGCUGGAGUGCAAUGGCGUGAUCUCGGCUCACCGCAACCUCCGCCUCCUGGGUUCAGGCAGUUCUCCUGCCUCAGCCUCCUGAGUAGCUGGGAUUACAGGCACGCGCCACCGUGCCCAGCUAAUUUUUUGUAUUUUUAGUAGAUACGGGGUUUCACCAUGUUGACCAGGAUGGUCUCGAUUUCUUGACCUCGUGAUCCACCCACCUCGGCCUCCCAAAGUGCUGGGAUUACAGGCGUGAGCCACCGCGCCCGGCCUUUUUUUUUUUUUUGAGAUGCAGUCUUGCUCUGUCACCCAGGCUGAAGCGCAAUGGCACAAUCUCGGAUCACUGCAACCUCCAUCUCCCAAGUUCAAGCAAUUCUCCUGCCUCAGCCUUCCAAGUAGCUGGGAUAACAGGUGCCUACCACCACGCCUGGCUCAUUUUUGUAUUUUUAGUAGAGAUGGGGUUUCACCAUAUUGGCCAGGCUGGUCUCGAACUCCUGACCUCAGGUGACCCACCUACCUUGGCCUCCCAAAGUGCUGGAAUUACAGGCAUGAGCCACUGCACCCAGCCUUUUUACUCCGAUUCUAUUUCUCUCUUUUCUUUGAGUUAAAUAUUUUCUGCUGAUUCGUCUUCAAAGUUACUGAUCCUGUGUUUUCCUGCCAUUUCCAGAACUGGGGCCCAUCUAGUAAAUUUUUAAAAUUGCAUUACUGUUCGUUUCAGCUCUAGAAUUCUCAUUGAUGUUUCCAUUUGUCUGUGCAAAUUCUCUGUCCGCUCAUUGACAUCAUAUUUUCCUAUAAUUCCUCCAACAUAUUUUCCUAUGAACCUGUAUUUUUUUUAAUUCUUCAAAUGUAUUUAUAACAUUUGAAGAUGCUUUGAAGUCUAUACCCGCCAAAUCUAAAUUCUGGGCUCAGAGAUUACACCUGUUAGCUUCCUUUAUGAAACACAUUUUCCUAUUUCUUUGUCUAGUAAUUUUUGGUUGAAAACUGGGUAUUGUAGCUAAUGUAUCAGUAGUGGAAUCAUGGAAAACCAGCCAGGGCCAAGGACUCCAGGAAUGACAGGUGCGGCAGAGUAGGGAACCGAACCCGUCCCAGAGUUCAUCAGAGCUUUCACGCUGCCACUUCCUCUGCCCAGUCUCCCUCACUAUUCUUCUCCCCAAAUUUGUUUCAUUGUGCUUAAGCAUCACCCCCUUAGGGUAGUCUUUCCAGUAAUCCUGGCCAGGUUAGGACCCCUGGUUAAACACAUUUAUAAGCACUUUCUACAACUGCAGCAACUGUGAACGUGUUCGUGUACUUUGUCCUGUAAUGUCUAUCUACGGUACUACACUGGAAGGGAAAUGAAAGCAGGGACACUGUGCGUUGCUACCACGUGCCUGAGGCAAAGAGGAGCUUAGGAAAUACUUGUUUAGUGAAUUCAUGUUGCCCACUUUGCCUCAAGGACAUUUUCAGAAUUUUCUGUCUCACCAGAACACACGAGAAUGUUCAUUCCCUGAACACUCCCUGGUACUCACAAUUUUUUUGCAAGUAUUUUUGAUGAUCUUUUAAAGCGCUUUUCCAAUCUAAUAGCUGAACAUUGUAUCUUAGUCUAAUCUGGAUCCUUUGACAUUGAACAUUUUUUCACAUUUGUAUUGGCGAUUUGAAGUUUCUCUUCUGUAAGUUUCCUUCCCAUGUCAUUUGCAAAUAUUUUGUCUUACUUCGUUAACGAAGAGACUUUCACAUGUUACUGAUAUGGUCUGGUUCUGUGUUUCCACCCAGAUCUCAUCUUGAAUUGUAAUCUGAACUGUAGGAAUGUCAUGGGAGGUGAUUGGAUUAUGGGUGGUUCCCCCGUGCUGUUCGCAUAAUAUUGAGUGAGUUUUCACAGUAUCUGAUGGUUUUACAAGGGCUUCUUCUCCCCUCACUUUGCACUUCUCUGCUGCCUUGUGAAUGAGGUGCCUGCUUUCCCUUCGCCUUCCCCCAUGAUCCUAAGUUUCCUGAGGCCUCCCCAGCCAUGUGUAACUUGAGUCAAUUAAACCUCUUUCCUUUAUAAAUUACCUAGCCUUGGGCGGGCACAGUGGCUCACGCCUGUAAUCCCAGCACUUUGGGAGGCCAAGGUGGGUGGAUUACUUGAAGUCAGGAGUUCGAGACUAGCCUGGCCAACGUGGUGAAACCCUGUCUCUAUUAAAAAUACAAAAAUUAGCCAGGCGUGGUAGCGCAUGCACCUGUUGUCUCAGCUACUCUCGAGGCUGAGGCAAGAGAAUCACUUGAACCUGGGAGGUGGAGUUUGCAGUGACCCGAGAUUGCACCACUGCUUCCCAGCCUGGGCGACAGAGUGAGACGUCACCGCUGCCUCCCGGCCUGGGCGACAGAGUGAGACUUCAUCUCAAAUAGAGUAAAUAGAUAAAUAAAUAAAUAAAUUACCUAGUGUUGGGUAUUUCUUUGUAGCAGUGUGAAAAUGGACAAGUACAGUUAUAUUAGAACUAUUUUGACCAGUACAUAGUUUUCCCCAGUUUGUUGUCUGCCUUUCUACUCUGCUGAUACUGUUUCUUCCUGUGCAUGGAAACAAACUGUACAUCUACCCUCCAUUCUUUCCUUUCUCGCCCUGAUGUGAGUCUCACUGUUUAGAAAGAUAUUUCUUGGCCGGGUGCGGUGGCUCACGCCUGUAAUCCUAGCACUUUGGGAGGCCGAGGUGGGUGGAUCACCUGAGGUCAGGAGUUCGAGACCAGCCUGGCCAUGGUGAAACCCCAUCUUUAAAAGAAUAAAAUAAAAAUAAAAAAAAGAAAGAUAUUUCUCAACCUCAAAAUUAGGUAAAUAUCUAUGUAUACUUUCUCCUGGUGUAUUUAUGAUUUCUUUUUUGUUUUUAACCUUAAGAUUCUUAACCCAUCUCAAAUUUAUGUUGGUGCAAGAAGAGAGACACGGAUCUAAUUUCAUUUCAUCUUUCUCAAUGGUUGCCUGUUGCUCCAUCAAUUCCUUCUGUUAAAAAAAAAAAUAUAUAUAUAUAUAUAUAUAUAUAUAUAUGUAUUCCCAAGCAAGCUGGGCUCCACAGUACAUGCCUGUGGUCCCAGCCACGCAGGAAGCCAAGGUGGGAGGAUCACCUGAGUCCAGAAAUUCAAGAGCAGCCUGGGCAACACAGCAAGAGCCCAUCACUAAAAUAUAUCCCGUACCUUUACCUCUUUCUAGAUGUUCCAUUCUGUCUGUUGAUCUACCUGCUCCAGUGACAGCCCUGUGAGGUUCUGAAAGUGUUUGCUCUAGAAUUCACUUGACGAUCUGAUAUUAAGUCGCACUGGAAAUUAUUGAUUUAGCUAACAUUUACUGAGUCACGAUUUGAGCCCAACACUGUCUAGGAGCUGAGAGCACAGCGGUGAAUGAGGCAGACACGAGACUUCUGUUUUCGUGGAACUUAUCUUCUGUUCAGACACCUAUUGCUCAUUCCUUCAAAAGCUGGUGAACAGGCGGGGCACGGAUCACGAGGUCAAAAGAUCAAGAUCAUCCUGGCCAACAAGAGCUUGCUGUGGCCGCCACCUUGAAGAGAACUCCGUGGCAGACUAGGCGUCAUCAAGGGCACACGCAGCCGUGAGGGAGGCACCAGACCCCUGUGAUGCACAGCUUCAAGGUCUCAACCCCGGCUCCUCCAUUCCCACCACAGACGGUCUUCAGUGGCUUCGUCCAGCCUCGGGUGGGUGCCGGCAGCCACACGAUGCCUUGCCUUGGGCCCGCGCUGGAGAUCUCUUGCUUCCUGUGCAGGUGCUUCUCUGAACAUUCGACUCAGGGCUCCUCGUGGAACCCACUCAUGAGUCUGCAGUCACACUCAUGCAACCUGGGAAUGCUGGAAGGUUAAGGUCUACGGAGCCGCCCCGGCUGCUGACACGUUGAGCCGAUGGAGAAAUCUUCUCAGUUCAUGAGUGAACAGUUCUGAGAUAAGCCUCGCGAGAUCCCCGGAAACCCCCACCGGAGCAGGUACGGGCCUCCUGCAGCCGCGGCUGACUUGACCAUUUCCCUGAGAUCUCACGUCCAGCCGAAAUGUCUGCAGGCAAGUCUUUGUCUCAAGCUUUGCUUCCAAGCAGACUAAGGUACGUGCCGUUGUGGCAGGACUGCGCACAGAAAAUGAACUCGCAGAUUUAAAUAAGUGUAGUAAGUGUUAUGGGGAAAUAAUACGGGGUGGUGCUAUGGGAUUGUAGCUCUGGAUUUGUGCCAUCUAACAUGGUAGCCACUAGCCAUGUGUGACUAUUUAAAUAUAAAUGCAGGCUGGGCGCAGGGUGGUGGCUCAUGCCUGUAAUCCCAGCACUGUGGGAGGCCAAGGCAAAUAGAUCAUUUGAAGUCGGGAGUGCAAGACCAGCCUGGGCAACAUGGUGAAACCCCAUCUCUACUAAAAAUACAAAAAAUUAGCUGGGCGGUAAUGGCAUGCACCUGUAAUCCCAGCCACUCGGGAGGCUGAGGCAGGAGAAUCACUUGAGCCUGUGAGGCAGAGGUUGUGGUGAGCCAAGAUCACGCCACUGCACUCCAGUCUGGGGGACAGAGACUCUGUCUCAAAAAUGGAUAAAUAGUCCGGGCACAGUGCCUCCCACCUGUAAUCCCAGCACUGUGGGAGACCAAGGCAGGUGGAUCACCUGAGGUUGGGAGUUUGAGACCAGCCUGGUCAACAUGGCAAAACCCCAUCUCUACUAAAAAUACACAAAAUUAGCUGGGUGUGGUGGCAGAUGCCUGUAGUCUCAGCUACUCAGGAGGCUGAGACAGGAGAAUUGCUUGAACCUGGGAGGCGGAGGUUGCAGUGAGCCAAGAUAGCGCCACUGCACUCUAGCCUGGGCGACAAGAGCAAAACUCAAUCUCAAAAAUAAAUAAAUAAACACAUAUAAAUGCAAAUCAGUUAAAAGUCAAUGAAAUUUGAAAUGUAGCUCCUGGAUCACACUGGCCACAUUUCGAGUGUCCAGCAGUUCCAUGCAUCUGGUGGCUGCCUCACUGCAAAGUCCAGCUACAGAACAUUUCAAGCCUCACAGAAAGGUCCGCUGGUCAGUGCCGCUGCGAGUCAUCUGGCCGAUGCCUGCUGCUUUGUACUAGAUUCUAAGCACAGAGUCACAGUGUCGAGAUCUGGCUAAUUUUACUUUCUGUCUGUAGAAAGUAGCACAGAGACCAGCACAGAAGCAGACAGUCAAGUUUGCAGAAAGCAGGCAGGAAGGGAAAGAGGGAGGAAGAGAGAGACGGGAGAGAUGCAGGAGCAGGAGAAAGGAGGAAAGAAGGAAGGGAAGGAGGGAGGGAGAGAGAGACGGGAGAGAUGCAGGAGCAGGAGAAAGGAGGAAAGAAGGAAGGGAAGGAGGGAGGGAGAGAGAGACGGGAGAGAUGCAGGAGCAGGAGAAAGGAGGAAAGAAGGAAGGGAAGGAGGGAGGGAGAGAGAGACGGGAGA